UGGACCUCAGAUCAGGCAAGAUUACCCGCUGAGUUUAAGCAUAUCACUAAGCGGAGGAAAAGAAACUAACUAGGAUUU
rnacentral:rRNA from 3 species